rnacentral:rRNA from 1 species
AGGUUAAGUUAUUAAGGGCGCACGGCGAAUGCCUUGGCACUAGGAGCCGAAGAAGGACGGCACUAACACCGAUAUGCUUCGGGGAGCUGUAAGUGAGCUUUGAUCCGGAGAU